rnacentral:rRNA from 1 species
CCCUUAGAUGUUCUGGGCCGCACGCGUGCUACACUGAACGGUUCAAUGGGUAAGGUAGUGCGAAAGCAUGACCUAAUCUCGAAAUCCGUUCGUGCUGGGGAUAGAAGCUUGCAAUUAUCCUUCUUGAACGAGGAAUACCUUGUAAGCGUGAGUCAUCAUCUCACGCUGAAUACGUCCCUGCCCUUUGUACACACCGCCCGUCGCUCCUACCGAUUGAGUGUUCCGGUGAGGCUUUGGGAGAAUGGCCUCGACAUGAGUUUAUCGUGUUUUGCCGUUUGAACUUAGUCAAACCUUAUCACUUAGAGGAAGGAGAAGUCGUAACA